rnacentral:rRNA from 1 species
CCUACGGGUGGCUGCAGUGAGGAAUAUUGGUCAAUGGGCGGGAGCCUGAACCAGCCAAGUCGCGUGAGGGAAGACGGUCCUAUGGAUUGUAAACCCCUUUAGGCGGGGAGCAAUGCCGGGCACGUGUGCACGGAGGGAGAGUACCCGCAGAAUCAGCAUCGGCUAACUCCGUGCCAGCAGCCGCGGUAAUACGGAGGAUGGGAGCGUUAUCCGGAUUUAUGGGGGUAAAAGGGUGCGUAGGCGGAUUUUUAAGUCAGCGGUAAAAUGUCCGGGCUCAACCCGGGCCGGCCGUUGAAACUGGGGGUCUUGAGUGGGCGAGAAGUAUGCGGAAUGCGUGGUGUAGCGGUGAAAUGCAUAGAUAUCACGCAGAACUCCGAUUGCGAAGGCGACCUGCUAGAACAUAACUGACGCUGAUGCGCGAAAGCGUGGGUAUCAAACAGGAUUAGAUACCCGAGUAGUC